rnacentral:rRNA from 1 species
AUUGAACGCUGGCGGCAGGCCUAACACAUGCAAGUCGAACGAGUGGCGGACGGGUGAGUAAUGUCUGGGCAACUGCCUGAUGGAGGGGGAUAACUACUGGAAACGGUAGCUAAUACCGCAUACCAUCGGAUGUGCCCAGAUGGGAUUAGCUAGUAGGUGGGGUAACGGCUCACCUAGGAGACGAUCCCUAGCUGGUCUGAGAGGAUGACCGGCAACACUGGAACUGAGACACGGUCCAGACUCCUACGGGAGGCAGCAGUGGGGAAUAUUGCACAAUGGGCGCAAGCCUGAGGCAGCCAGGCCGCGUGUAUGAAGAAGGCCUUCGGGUUGUAAAGUACGUUCAGCGGGGAGGCGUUACUCGCAGAAGAAGCACCGGCUAACUCCGUGUCAGCCGCCGCGGUAAUUC